rnacentral:misc_RNA from 1 species
UGAUCAGGGAAGCUGUGAAGAAAGUGUUUUUAUCCCCGAGUUUGCCCCAUCAAACAAUGGUAAAAAGUGCCUCCUGAAGAAAUCCCAACAUACUGAGAGUGAUUCCAUUCUGGAGCGCUCCUCCAUAAUCACAAAUUCAGAUUACUCAGAGAAAAUUAGCAGUAAUAUGAAGUCUGUGAUUAGCAAAAGCAAGACUUCAUGUGAUAAUUUCCUGUCUAAAGUAGAGGGAGGCUUUCCUCGUGCUGGGGAACAUAGUGAUGAUUUUGUGGAAAAUGGAUUCAGCAGACAGCGAGAGGCUGAUGGUAUUGAGACUGGAGGUUUGACUACUGAUAACACAUUCAAUUUAAAGGAUCCCAUGGACUUGUGUACGAAAUUUCCAACACUGAUCAAUUCAGAUAAUAAUGUCAAAUUUCCAUCAUGCAGGAACCCUGUUCCUAAUGCCUCUAUUUUAAGGCUUAGGAAUGAUAGUAAAUUAGGUAUUAGAGAUGACGAUGAAAAUUUUUCUAGGUGUAAUAAACCUGGCACCAAGCCAAGGGCAUUUAGGUAUCCAUCCCAUAUUGGGGACCGAAGAAUAAGGAAAUUAUUGACAUCUAAAU